CCGGGGAGGGCGCGGGGCGAGUCGCCCGCGCGGUGUGAAUAUUCAUCAGGGGUGGGGCGCGAACAAUGGCCGGGCGGUGGGCAGCCGCCCCGCCCCGCGCCCUCGGAGACGGCCCGGGGUCCUCCGGCCAGGUGCUGGGGCGAAAUUUGAGCAUCACUCAGGCUGCCUGGACCCAAGACUUUCAGCAGAAACAGAAUCCAAAACAGCUCCUCAAAUUGCCUUGUGCCCGAGUUCCUCACUUCAUUCAGUAGGUCUGGAGGCCAGAAAUCUGAAGUCAGGAUGUCAGCAGAACCAUGCUCCCUCUGAAGCUUGUAGGGGAGUCAGUCCUCCUCGCCCCUGCCUGGCUUCUGGUAGUUGCUGUGUACUGGCUGAUCCAGGCUAACAGCUGCAGACUCUGAUCACAUGGCGUUCUCCUAUGUGUCUGUCUGUCUCUGCACAAGACUGUCUUCUUUAGGGACACCAGUCAUUGUUGGGUUAAGGUCCCAACCUCCCCAGUGUGAUUACAUCUUAACUAAUUAUACCCACAGCAACCCUACUUCCAAGUAAGGACACAUUCUGAGGUACUGGGGGUUAGAAAUUCAACACAUCGUUUUUAGGGGAGAACAUAAGUCAACCUGUAACACUAAUUUAACAAUUACUUACAUUUCUUAAAGAAGUUGAAGACCAUUAUUCUUUCUUACCCUAAUGUAGUCGUUUCCACAACUUAGCACAUGGAUAGUUAAGGAAAGUAAGUGGUAGUUUUGAUAGUUUUGCUAUGGCUCCCUCACCUUCUGUCUUGCCACCUCUCUUGUUACCUAACAUGUAAUUAUUAGGCACAUACUGAGUCUGUAGCACUGGUUAAACCUAUCAAAAUUAAAAAUCACACAAAACUCUCCUUACCAUUAACUACAAGUUGCUUUCAUUUACACCAUAAUUUUCAAAUAGGCUGACUUUGUAAUGAAUGACUUCAGUUUGAAAAUCACUAUGAAGAAUUAUCUUUAAGAUAGAUUGUAAAAAAUUUCUUAGACCUUUUUAUAAAUAUAUAACAGAUGAUAGGGAAAAAAGAAGGAAGAAAACUAAAGUAGAAAUGGGUACCAGUAGAAAUUAUUUCUACUUGUUGUAAGGCCAGAGGGAAUAUUUUUUCAGCAGUGAGUUAUCUCUAAUUUGGUUGGCAUAUUUGUGAAUUAGCUAAAUGUUAAAAUAGUGUCUUACUGGCUUUGAAGUACUUUUUGUGACCUUUUCCCACUGCAUUGCUGGAAAUAGUUUCACUUUUUUUAAUUGAAAUUUACGCAUAUUUAUUUAAUAUUUUGAAAGAAUGUGAUAUUUUGCUAAGUUUGAUAGAAUUGCUUGAUAUAAAAAUACAUGUAAGGGAAUAUAGUGUGGCAUGGAUAAAACAAGGGUGACUUUCUGUAUAUUUUCUGUACAUGACUGUAUUGCUGCUGCAUGCUUUUGGAAGCAAAAAUAUUUGUUUCACUUGUUAACGUGUGUGCAUUUAUUUUAAUGAGUAUUUAUGAAGCCCUCAUUGACAUCUUCAAAUCAGCAUGUGGAUUCCAUCAUGCAGUUAUUCCCUUUUAUUUCCAUUUUCUUGUUAGGAAUGCUUUGUUUGUGUCUCAAAAGCUAAGGAAAUUAAAUUCACAGCUAUGUCAGUACAAUGAAACUUUGCCACACACAAGUCAGGAAAUUAGAAUUUGUUGUUCUCCCAGCAGCUGGUGUUUGGCUCUUCUGAACAUUUUAUGUUAGAGAAGUUAAAAGAGCGGCAGUUUUUCCUGACAGGAAUUGUGUUAGGGUACAAAAUAAUACCACUUUUACCCACUCAGGACAGAGGACUGUGGGCCGGGCAGACCCCACCAGCUCUGGAUCUGGGUCCUCAACCUCUCUCACUCCAACUCCUCUUCUCUGCAAAUUACAAACCACCUGUGCUGAUGUGGCAUGGGUGGUUUGCAGCAUACUGUGGUAGCUCCCAGCACAGCUACUAUUGCUAGUUGCCCCCGUUACUGGGUGUCACAAUGUGCCAGGCAUUCUACCAGGUGCUCUGCUUGCACUAUUCCAUUUCACCCUCACACAGCCCCAGGCAGCAAGCACUUCUGUUAUCCCAGUUUCACAGAUGAGAAAGCCAAGACUUAGAGACAUUAAAUAAUUUGGCCUUGAUUGCCCCUUUAGUAGCAAAUCCAGGAUUAAAAAUCAGAGUCAUGUGGACAACUUAUGUUUUGACCAGUAAGUUUUAGGUAACUUAGGCAUUUUAACCAAGUCUUGGAAGGUCUGAUUUCCCUAACACAAAAGAGAGACUUAAAAAAAAUUACAUUCUUCUGAUUAUAAAUAAAACACAUAUUCACUGAAGAAAAUACAGAGAAGUAUAAAUAAGAAUAAAAUUUACCUAUAAUCCUUAAGAACAAUCAUUAACACUUAAUAUAUUUCCUUUGUCUUUUUUCUAAGCAUGUGUGUGUGUGUGUGUGUGUUUGUAUUUUUUAAUGUAAUCAGAAUUGUACCAUUAGGUGACCUUCUUUUCACUCCAUAUAUUAUAAACAUUUCCACAUCAUUAAAUACCCUGUUACAACCUACUGUUAAUGGCCAUAUUGACUAUAAUGUAAUUCCUGUGGUGUUGGGUAGUUAGAAAGUUUCUAAUUAAUCGUGGUUUUAAAUACCACCUCUGCUAGUAAUGAUUUCCUUAAGAGAAGUUCCUAGACAUAGAACUGCAAAACCAUGAACAUCUAUAAGGUUCUUGGUAUAUUUUGUCGAACUCCCUCCAAAAAGGCUCUGUCGAAUUAUGAGUGGGGGUAGUUGAGAGGUGUGUAUUUCAAGUUUUCAUAUAGCCUCUUGAGGGAGAUACCAUGGAGAAUGUAGAUCAUCCUUUGUUUUUCAAGACAUACCUUAUGGGUAGUCACCCCAUGGCUCCCAGUGGGUUCCAGGAAGGACGUUUGAUCCACCAGAGAAAGGCUGGGACAGAGGAUGUUUCAGCAGGCCUCUGCACUGCCUGCCCAGCUCACGACUGUGAAUUUAGUGGUCCCUGAGAAGUACGGACCACUAAAGUAAGUGAGGCAGUGGGAAAAUGGCAGGACAUUUACUAGUUUAUGGAGGUUUUUUCUGCCCACUGCUUCCUCUGGUCUUUAUCACAGCCUUGAAUGAUGCAGCUUUAUGACCAUUGGCACUUUGCAGAGGAUGAUGGUUAAAUUUAGGCAAUGUAAGCGCCUUACUUAAAAUAAUGCCACCCUCUGCAGAGCAGCGCAAGCAAUGUCUGCUUAUUCUACUCUCCCGCAUCAAGCUGCCUCUCCCCAAGAAAAAAAAAGCCUCUAUGUCAAAGAUUCUGCCACUCAACAAGUGGAAAUACUUGGCCUUAUAUUAAGGACCCCUUGAACUUGCUCUACAAGUUAUUAUCAUUAUUUUUCAACAUUUGCCGAAUUCCAGCCACAUAAUAGGUGCUGUCCCAGACAGAUGGUCCUGAGCCUUUGAGCUUGAGAUCUUGAGAAACCAGCAAGCCUGGCAAACGUGAGAAAUGAAGGGAAUGCACUUAGUUAAAAUGGGGCCUGAAAAAGGGCACUUUGGGCAAUUACAUGUCUGGUUACACAUUCUUGACAACUAUUUAGAACUCUGACUGACUGUGCAAAGACAAUGCCCAGUUUGUUGGCCUGAACAAAGGCAAAAUAGGAUGAACCCCAGGACUGAUUCUAUGCACCAUGCUGGAAUGUUGAAACAAGAAAGCCAAGGAUCACUGUAUGUGAUAUGUACUUAAACUCACUAAAGAGGAAGAAAAACAAGAGCUUAGAGAGUAGUCCCAGGUUUGCCUGUUCAUUUCAGAUGUGUUUAAUAUGUCAUACAUACACACAAAAUUUGAACUUCACCAAAUACCUGCUUCUCUUACACAGUAUUAAAGUGGGGCAGGAAGGAAGCAUGAGACAGUUUGUAAAGGAAGUGAGUUGUAGCUGUAGCUCUACAGGGACUUGACUGCUGUUUGGGUUUUGGUGACUCUGUGUGUCUGAAGCAUCCAUGGCCCAAACCCAGGAGAGAAUAGCACAUUGACCCCUGAAACUGACUCUGAUGGGGGAGUGAGUAAUAAAGUGUGGCUAACACAGAGGCUUUAAUAUUUUAUGUUUUAAUUUGCAUGCAAUAAAACAUGCUUCAUUAUAUGCACAUUUGAAUAUAAUAAAACAUUGAAAAUAUCUUUUCAGCAUAUUUCUACAUAGGUG